rnacentral:rRNA from 1 species
GACGAACGCUGGCGGCGUGCUUAACACAUGCAAGUCGAACGGAAAGGCCCUGCUUUUGUGGGGUUCUCGAUUGGCGAACGGGGGAGUAACACGUGAGUAACAUGCCCUUGUCUUUGUGAUAACUCCAGGAAACUCGGUCUAAUACCGGGGAGGAUCUCCUGCUGCACGUUGGGGGUAGGAAAGUGUCGGCGGUGGUGGAUGGACUCGCGGCUUAUCAGCUUGUUGGGGGGGUAGGGGCUUACCAAGGCUUUGACGGGUAGGCGGCCUGAGAGGGUGACCGGCGACCUUGGGACUGCGAUACGGACCAGAAGCGUACGGGAGGCAGUGGUGGAGAAUAUUGCAGAAUGGCGGGGCGUCUGAUGUGGAGACGCUGCGUGCGGAAUGCUCUGUUUCGGGUUAUAAACAGAUUUCGAAUGAGCCGAAGAGAGCGUGACGGUACCGGGUCAAGAAGCCACGGCUAACUACGUG